rnacentral:lncRNA from 1 species
GACUUCUUUUUAUUUGAUGGUCAAAUGUGAUUCUCUUUGUUUAGGCAUGGUCACCGAUACCAUAAAGUCAGAUGAGAGCUUUAUCCCUAAGAAUAAGAAGAACAUCAAAAUAUGGUUUAGCCCAAAGAGUCGUAAAGUACGCUGUUGCAUUGAGAAACCUGUUGACUCAAACAAAUCAAAUGAAGUCCAGGGAAAGAAAGCCGAUAUGUCACCUUCUUCCAAGGACCUGUCCGUCUUCAACUUCACCUCUUCCUCCCAGGAGUCUGGGUCAUCCUCCCCUCCACGGGGGAAGGCAAAUAAGAAAAUAAAGAAAAAAAGGAUCAGCCAAACCUGCAAACAAACCCGUGUUGGUCAAAGGCCUAAAACAUGGACUCAGACUAUGCAAGAAUGUAAGAGGCUGAAGCUGGAGGCUAUCAAUCAGCAGUGGGCCUUUGGAAAAGAAGGUUCUAGAGACAACAAGAAUGAAGAGGACAAGAAAGUGAGCUCUGGAGAUGACAACAGGAGGUCCAGUAAGAGUGUUUCUUUCCAUUUCCCUCGCAGCCAGCCUGAGGAAACUCAUAAGGCUGUCCACCAAGAACAGAAUCAAAUUCCCAGUCCCCAAAAAAGCAUCCCAAGCAAUUUGGAAGUUGAAGGCACUGAGAAGCAAAGCUCUGCAGCUUUUUGUUCACCAUGUUACGAUCAACAGGUUGAGCCUGUCACUGAUAUCCCACAAGAAUCCAAUGAAAACACUCCAGGGCCUCCUCAGCCUUCCCUUGCCAGUGUGUGUAAGAGAACCAGAGAGGAUCGGGACAGUGAUGAUCCACAGAGAAUGCCAAAACAACCCAGAGCAACUUCAGGAUGGAAGAAGAGAUCAUUUCGAGAAAGAACUGCUUCAACUGAAGACUGCUCUCAGAGUCUGAGAACAUCCAGACAGUCCAAUGAGAAGCAGAAUGUGAACCCAAUCACACCAGCUACCCCUGACCUUGGGAGGAAAUCUUCAAGUGUGAGACACAAACAGGCGAAUCCUGCUUACAUGAAGAGGAACCACAAUGGAGAAACGCCACUGCAUUUAGCUGCCAUAAAGGUUUGUGUUCACUUAUAUCUGCAUGUUGGCAAAAUAACAUCAGUUUGUGCUAAAAUAGAGUUUCAAGACAUGGAAAAUGUUUUGUUCUCCCUUUUAAAGUAGAUAAGUACAGUAGGAAUACACAAUAUACAUUGGUUCCAUAUUGAUGAUUUUUUUUUAAACCUGGU